CUGACAGCACGCCGCGUGAGGAGAGGCCUUCGGGUUGUAAACUCUUUUUCCAGGGAAAAAUGAUCGGACCUGACGGGAUAUGACUGGACCAUGUCCAAUGACAAAACGCCUAGUAUAUGCCAGCAGCCGCGG
rnacentral:rRNA from 1 species